rnacentral:rRNA from 1 species
UACGGAGGAUGCAAGCGUUAUCCGGAAUGAUUGGGCGUAAAGCGUCCGCAGGUGGCUGUGUAAGUCUGCUGUCAAAGCGCGAAGCUCAACUUCGUAAAGGCAGUGGAAACUACACGGCUAGAGUGCGUUCGGGGCAGAGGGAAUUCCUGGUGUAGCGGUGAAAUGCGUAGAGAUCAGGAAGAACACCGGUGGCGAAGGCGCUCUGCUAGGCCGCAACUGACGCUGAGGGACGAAAGCUAGGGGAGCGAAUGGG